AAAAAGGAGAGUUUGAUCCUGGGUCAGGAUGAACGCUGGGGGGGUGCUUAACACAUGCAAGUCGAACGGGCUCUUUGGAGCUAGUGGGGGACGGGUGAGUAACGCGUGAGAAACUGCCUACAGGACGGGGACAACAGUUGGAAACGACUGCUAAAACCCGAUGUGCCGAGAGGUGAAACAUUUAUGGGCUGUAGAUGAGCUCGCGUCUGAUUAGCUAGUUGGUGGGGUAAGGGGCUACCAAGGGGACGAUCAGUAGCUGGUCUGAGAGGAUGAUCAGCCACACUGGGACUGAGACACGGGCCAGACUCCUACGGGAGGGAGCAGUGGGGAAAUUUUCGCAAAGGGGGCAAGCCUGACGGAGCAACGCCGCGUGGGGGAGGAAGGUUUUUGGACUGUAAACCCCUUUUUUCAGGGAAGAAGAAAGUGACGGUACCUGAGGAAAAAGCCUCGGGUAAAUUCGUGCCAGCAGCCGCGGUAAAACGGGAGAGGGAAGCGUUAUCCGGAAAUAUUGGGGGUAAAGCGUCCGCAGGGGGUUAAACAAGUCUGUUGUCAAAGCGUGGGGGUCAACCUCAUACAGGGAAAGGAAACUGAUUGACUAGAGUAUGGUAGGGGUAGCGGGAAAUUCAGGUGUAGCGGUGAAAAGCGUAGAUAUCUGGAAGAACACCAGCGGGGAAAGCGCGCUACUGGGGCAUAACUGACGCUCAUGGACGAAAGCUAGGGGAGCGAAAGGGAUUAGAUACCCCUGUAGUCCUAGCCGUAAACGAUGAACACUAGGUGUUGCGUGAAACGACCCGCGCAGUGCCGUAGCCAACGCGUUAAGUGUUUCGCCUGGGGAGUACGCACGCAAGUGUGAAACUCAAAGGAAAUGACGGGGGGCCGCACAAGCGGUGGAGUAUGUGGUUUAAAUUGAUGCAACGCGAAGAACCUUACCAGGGUUUGACAUCCCCCGAAACUCUUGGAAACGAGAGAGUGCCUUUGGGAGCGGGGAGACAGGUGGUGCAUGGGUGUCGUCAGCUCGUGUCGUAGAUGUUGGGUUAAGUCCCGCAACGAGCGCAACCCACGUUUUUAGUUGCCAUCAUUUAGUUGGGGACUCUAGAGAAACUGCCGGUGACAAACCGGAGGAAGGUGUGGACGACGUCAAGUCAUCAUGCCCCUUACAUCCUGGGGUACACACGUACUACAAAGCUCCGGACAGCGAGACGCGAAGCCGCGAGGUGAAGCAAAACUCCCAAACCGGGGGUCAGUUUAGAUUGCAGGGUGCAACUCGCCUGCAUGAAGGGGGAAACGCUAGUAAACGCAGGUCAGCAUACUGCGGUGAAAACGUUUCCGGGGCUUGUACACACCGCCCGUCACACCAUGGAAGUUGGGCAUGCCCGAAGUCGUUACCCUAACCGUUUGCGGAGGGGGGGGCCGAAGGUAGGGGUGAUGACUGGGGUGAAGUCGUAACAAGGUAGCCGUACCGGAAGGUGUGGGUGGAUCACCUCCUUU
rnacentral:rRNA from 1 species